AUCGGGACAGGGAGAGGGAGAGACACGGAGCUGAAUUCUCCGGCAAGUAGCUGCGAUCGGCUUCAGAGAGUGAGCUCAGAGCCGGUGUGUGGGAGCGUCGCUGGGAGAAAGGAGCGGACAGAAUUCACAAAUCUCGGAUAGAGGUACUCAUGGAGUUCCUGACUCAAUAGACUUGCCAACUGCUGGUUGGGACGAUGGUUGGUCAGCCGGAAAGACACAGUCAGGGAGGUCGGAGUCUUCAAUCAAUCCUGCUGCCAGGUACAAUGGUGAUCCUGUAAGAGACCAGUGCGGAAUGGGAUGUUAUAAAUCUCAGCUGAGGCUUGCGGCCUACCAUUACCUGGGAGUCACUAAGGGAGAGAAUCUGAGAGAGAGCAGCACAAAGCGGGAGAAUAUAAAUCAGCAGCGAGGGUCAAGGCCGACUGGGACUUGGAUCUGGAGAAACAGCAGAGCAGGAGGCUCGAAAUCAGCACCGAGUCACAGAGGGAGUGACCGUGUGAGGGAGCAACUUGGAGCAGGAGCUUGAGGCUGACUCACACCUGGGAGAAUAUAAAUCAGCACUGAGGAUCGAGGCCUAGCUGUACCUGGGAGUGACAGAGACGGUGACCCUGUGAGGGA